rnacentral:rRNA from 1 species
AGUGAACGCUGGCGGUAGGCCUAACACAUGCAAGUCGAACGGCAGCACAGUAAGAGCUUGCUCUUACGGGUGGCGAGUGGCGGACGGGUGAGGAAUACAUCGGAAUCUACUUUUUCGUGGGGGAUAACGUAGGGAAACUUACUCUAAUACCGCAUACGACCUACGGGUGAAAGCAGUGGAUCUUCGGACCUUGCGCGAUCGAAUGAGCCGAUGUCGGAUUAGCUAGUUGGCGGGGUAAAGGCCCACCAAGGCGACGAUCCGUAGCUGGUCUGAGAGGAUGAUCAGCGACACUGGAACUGAGACACGGUCCAGACUCCUACGGGAGGCAGCAGUGGGGAAUAUUGGACAAUGGGCGCAAGCCUGAUCCAGCCAUACCGAGUGGGUGAAGAAGGCCUUCGGGUUGUAAAGCCCUUUUGUUGGGAAAGAAAAGCAGCAGGUUAAUACGCCGCUGUUCUGACGGUACCCAAAGAAUAAGCACCGGCUAACUUCGUG